rnacentral:rRNA from 1 species
UGCGAAGGGUGCAAGCGUUAAUCGGAAUUACUGGGCGUAAAGCGCGCGUAGGUGGUUCAGUAAGUUGGAUGUGAAAUCCCCGGGCUCAACCUGGGAACUGCAUCCAAAACUGCUGAGCUAGAGUACGGUAGAGGGUGGUGGAAUUUCCUGUGUAGCGGUGAAAUGCGUAGAUAUAGGAAGGAACACCAGUGGCGAAGGCGACCACCUGGACUGAUACUGACACUGAGGUGCGAAAGCGUGGGGAGCAAACAGG